GUUGGUUAAGUCCCGCAACGAGCGCAACCCCUAUUGUUAGUUGCCAUCAUUCAGUUGGGCACUCUAGCGAGACUGCCGGUAAUAAACCGGAGGAAGGUGGGGAUGACGUCAAAUCAUCAUGCCCCUUAUGACCUGGGCUACACACGUGCUACAAUGGUUGGUACAACGAGUUGCGAGUCGGUGACGGCGAGCUAAUCUCUUAAAGCCAAUCUCAGUUCGGAUUGUAGGCUGCAACUCGCCUACAUGAAGUCGGAAUCGCUAGUAAUCGCGGAUCAGCACGCCCGCGGUCGAAUACGUUCCGGGCCUU
rnacentral:rRNA from 1 species